AGAGUUUGAUCCUGGUUCAGAGCGAACGCUGGCGGCAGGCCUAAUACAUGCAAGUCGAACGGAUCCUUCGGGAUUAGUGGCGGACGGGUGAGUAACACGUGGGAACGUGCCCUUUGGUUCGGAACAACUCAGGGAAACUUGAGCUAAUACCGGAUGUGCCCUUCGGGGGAAAGAUUUAUCGCCAUUGGAGCGGCCCGCGUCUGAUUAGCUAGUUGGUGGGGUAAAGGCCUACCAAGGCGACGAUCAGUAGCUGGUCUGAGAGGAUGAUCAGCCACACUGGGGCUGAGACACGGCCCAGACUCCUACGGGAGGCAGCAGUAGGGAAUCUUGCGCAAUGGGCGAAAGCCUGACGCAGCCAUGCCGCGUGAAUGAUGAAGGUCUUAGGAUUGUAAAAUUCUUUCAGCGGGGACGAUAAUGACGGUACCCGCAGAAGAAGCCCCGGCUAACUUCGUGCCAGCAGCCGCGGUAAUACGAAGGGGGCUAGCGUUGCUCGGAAUUACUGGGCGUAAAGGGCGCGUAGGCGGAUGUUUAAGUCAGAGGUGAAAGCCCAGGGCUCAACCUUGGAACUGCCUUUGAUACUGGACAUCUUGAGUAUGGGAGAGGUGAGUGGAACUCCGAGUGUAGAGGUGAGAUUCGUAGAUAUUCGGAAGAACACCAGUGGCGAAGGCGACUCACUGGCCCAUUGCUGACGCUGAGGCGCGAAAGCGUGGGGAGCAAACAGGAUUAGAUACCCUGGUAGUCCACGCUGUAAACGGUGAGUGCUAGUUGUCGGCAUGCAUGCAUGUCGGUGACGCAGCUAACGCAUUAAGCACUCCGC
rnacentral:rRNA from 1 species